AUCGAACAGGAGAAUUCUUUUCACAAAUUUAAAAAUUUAAAAGUUUUCAAAAAGUUUUUAAAAAAUUGUUCAAAAGGCUUUGCAGAUUUAAGUAAAAUAAAAUGUUAUAGGGGUUACAGUUUCACACAGUUUACUGGUUAUAUCGGCUACUACCACAACAGCUUUCAUAUCAUUAUACAAAGAUAACAUAACAUAUUAAAAUUUUACAAACAUAACAUAAAGAUAGUAAUUACUAUCUUUAUGUUAUAUUUGUAAAAUUGUAAUAUGUAAACCAACUCCCAUCAAAGAAAAACCCUUCUCUAUCCCUAGAAGAUGUCGUCACCAUCCUGGACAAUAUCAAAGUUCCAAACUUCGCCACAGAGCUUUUCGCCAAAGGCCCAGCAUGUGCGCUAGUAGAAAAUCCUCGAUUCCCAGAUGAUAUACCUCUUUUUGAAAAGCUUGUUGACCCACUUGAUGAUUUAGAAGCCGAAAGGCUAAGAUGGUCUUUUGUAAAUGAACAUAAUAAGAAAAGAGUCCCGGACCACGAUCUCUCGCUUAUUAGCUCCUCCCUACUAGAUCCUAGUGUGCAUUUAACACUUAAUUGGUUCUCUGAUGAAAAACUGAUUUUAAUGAGGGAAGACAAAUCGAAGAAGCUAGUACUCCUUAUGAAAAGCUCAUAUGACGCCUUUAUCAUGCAGUUCGUACGAGACUUAAACAUGAAAACCCUACCUAAAGACCCAACACCUAUGCUUGCUGCUAAGACCAACAAACUUCUCAAACAUAAAAACCUACCUAGUUAUAUCUCAAGAGCUUGAAUUACCAAUCCAGUGUGUCCUAGGGCCUUCAUUUAUGUUAAAACGCACAAAGACACCUUGUCAGCCCGACCAAUUGUCGAAAAGAUGUGCUCCCUGACAUUUAACAUCAAAAAGUCCUUGGCCAAGUGGUGUCAACAGUUUUAGCACCUUAUCUCCUCUCUGUCUCGUCCCCUUUAGAAUUUUUGAAUAGACUAAGACAGUUAAACCUCUUCGUACAGAAUGUUAUGACAACCAUGGACUUUGAAUCCUUACACCCAUCCCUGAACCUAGAUGCCAUCUGCCUUUUAUUUUAUAGGUUCUUAUUAGAACACACCCCAGAACAGUAUCAGGACCCGGCGCUCCUAUGUGAUGUUGCAUACCUUAUUUGUCAUGAAUCAUAUUUUGAAUAUGAUGGGGUCUACUACAAACAGUUUCAAGGGGUACCCAUAGGAAGCCCUAUGGCGGGAAUUUUAGCCGAAAUAGUCAUCAGAGAUAUUGAAUCAAAAAUGAGUACAGACCUCACUAAG
rnacentral:lncRNA from 1 species